rfam:Cucumis melo, WGS project CAJI01000000 data, contig: 16092
AGAUCUGUAAGCUCAGACAGGCAGAGCGCUCAAUUUCUUCGGAAAUAUGAGAGGCUGAUGGUUCGAAUCCGUCCAGAUCUG